GAUGAACGCUAGCGACAGGCCUAACACAUGCAAGUCGAGGGGCGGCACAUGAGUAGCAAUACGAUGGUGGCGACCGGCGCACGGGUGAGUAACACGUAUGCAACCUACCGGUAAAAGGGGGAUAGCCUCUCGAAAGAGAGAUUAAUACCGCAUAAUAUCUCUGGAUGGCAUCAUUUAGAGAUUACACCUUUAGGGUUUACCGAUGGGCAUGCGUAUGAUUAGCUAGUAGGUGAGGUAACGGCUCACCUAGGCAACGAUCAUUAGGGGUUCUGAGAGGAAGGUCCCCCACACUGGUACUGAGACACGGACCAGACUCCGACGGGAGGCAGCAGUGAGGAAUAUUGGUCAAUGGGCGAGAGCCUGAAACAGCCAAGUCGCGUGAAGGAUGAAGGUUCUAUGGAUUGUAAACUUCUUUUGUAAGGGAAUAAAAAGAGCUACGUGUAGUUUAUUGUAUGUACUUUACGAAUAAGGAUCGGCUAACUCCGUGCCAGCAGCCGCCGUAA
rnacentral:rRNA from 1 species